AGAUUGAACGCUGGCGGCAUGCCUAACACAUGCAAGUCGAACGCCCCGCAAGGGGAGUGGCAGACGGGUGAGUAACGCGUGGGAAUCUACCCAGUUCUACGGAAUAACACAGGGAAACUUGUGCUAAAUACCGUAUACGCCCUACGGGGGAAAGAUUUAUCGGGAUUGGAUGAGCCCGCGUAAGAUUAGCUAGUUGGUGGGGUAAUGGCCUACCAAGGCGACGAUCUUUAGCUGGUCUGAGAGGAUGAUCAGCCACACUGGGACUGAGACACGGCCCAGACUCCUACGGGAGGCAGCAGUGGGGAAUAUUGGACAAUGGGCGCAAGCCUGAUCCAGCCAUGCCGCGUGAGUGAUGAAGGCCUUAGGGUUGUAAAGCUCUUUCAGUGGGGAAGAUAAUGACGGUACCACAGAAGAAGCCCCGGCUAACUUCGCGCCAGCAGCCGC
rnacentral:rRNA from 1 species